UCUCUUCUUCUAUUUCUUUUCUGAAGCUUUUGAUUUUUUGAAGGUUCAAUUUUAGUUGGAGUUUUUAUUUAUUUUUUAUUUUUUUUAUAAAUGGGGAAAAGAGAAGAAUCAAAGCCAGGUACACAGGAGAAAGGUGCAUUAAGUUGAGUAUUUUACAGUCUAUCUUGAUUGGAGAAAGUUUUGGGUAUCAUUUGAAAAUAAGAUUAUUUUAAAUAUUCUUGAACACAAUUUUCCACAUUUGUUUUUCCAUUGGUGUAUAAUUUUGGAUGGAUAUCAUUUGAUGGAUAUUAGUAAAUUCUUGAUUUGCUUUGAAUUUGUUAGAUUUUAUUAACACUAAAAUGAGCUAUUGACCAUCCUUUCAUUGCGGGUUUGUUAGAUUUUAAUAACAAUUGAGCUAUUGACUGUCCAUGUGAAGUGUUUAGAUUUCUGGGUAAUUAGUGUUGAAAUUUGGUGCAUGAUGGUUUCUUAGUGCAUACUUCCUUGGAGGAUAUGAAUGGUUCGAAUAAGGCAGUAGCUGCUGCUGCUAAAUCUUGGGCCUUGGGUAUACCGGUAAGUCCGUUUUUUACCUAUGUGAUUUUGUUAGAAUAUUUGUGAUGAAUUUUGAACCUAUUUGAUCUGAUAUAGCAUUGUAGGUGUUAGGUGUUAGGUGUUGGUGUUAGGUGGCCAUAUUUGUUCUAACUCAUUUAGAUUUUUUCCUUGAAAUUUUGAAUUUCUCAUGGAUUGAAAGUUUUAUCGUUUCUGCAAAUUCUUAAAGUUAAUCUUUUCUAAAAUCUAUUUUUUUGUAAAAUUAAUCAGAUGUAUUUAGUAAAAGUUGAAUUUUUAUCUCAAAUUUAAAUGUUUCGGUGAUUGCAUUUAAUCAUUGUCUCUAAUUUUUCUUUCAAAUUAUUCAUUUUUCUAUAUUUUUCCAUUUUUGUUUACUUGGCAGAAGAGGAAAUACUUAGAUAAGCUUUUGUUCUACCUCAUUCAUUUUCUAUAAAAUUACUCCGUAUUUGUGAAAUUGAAUUUCAAAUUUGCAUACUUGGUUCAGAAUUGUUAAUUAGGUUUUACAAUUUCACUAUUCAAUUCCUUAAUCAGUUAUUAGAGUCCGAUUAUUGAAAGUUUGAAAUAUGUUUAAUAAACUUUGUUUGAUGAAAUUGAAUUACUGAUCCCCUAUUGUAACAAAAUCACAUAGCAAAGAUAUACAUCCUCUAUUUGUUGGAAGGUAAAAGCGUUUUUACAAGUCACACAUUGUGUUGCUCCGGUUUUCAUAAAGUACUUAGCUGCCUGACUAACUAUUUUUAGAAUCUUUGGUAAUUGUGUAACCUGCAUGGAGUGUGAUUUUGUAGUAUCUGCGAUUCUAUGGAGACAAUGAUUUUCCUUCUCUUUUCUGAAGUGGUUUGUUGUCACAUAACUUUUUUGUCUUAUUAUUUCAGCGUAGGAUUAAUUGUUCUUGGUGCAUUCAUUGCUGGUGCUCGAGAUCUGUCUUUUGAUGCUUACGGUUAUGGAAUUGUAUUUCUGGCCAAUAUUACUACGGCUAUAUACCUUGCAACUAUUGCUCGAAUUGGUGAUACAUCAUUGUUCUCAUUCAUUUGCCUUAUAUUCUGUAUGAUUUCUUAUAUUAAUGCUUAUAUAAAAAAAAUUCUCUCAGGAAAAUUCAGUGGCCUUAAUAGUUUUGAACUUAUGUGGUGUAAUGGUUAGAUUGCAGAUCUGUUACAAAAAAAUGCACUUAAGACUCACUACCUUACUACACAAUGUAUCAGUUCUUUACUUAUGGUACCUUUUUCUCUAUAUUUUUUUAUAUUAGGUAUUUUCUUUGCGGACCAAUAUUGCUGUUUUGGACUUAUGUGAGAGUCUGUAGCUCACAUGCCCUGGCAUCAAAUGACAUACAAGUUUUUGAACACCAUUAUUGACGAUCUCUUUGCCUUUGUAAUCAAGAUGCCCAAACUUCACCGGCUUUCAGUUUUCCGUGAUGGUAAUACUAAUUUAACACUCCUGAACAUCUUCGUUUUGCUUGAUUAUUUAAGUUGCACCCCCUUGAAACAAACUUUGGGAGUUCUUGAAUUCUUGAUCAUUUAUUCUUGGAGGGAAAAAUUGGAAAACAACACACUUUCUGAUUUUCAAAGCCAGAGAAUGUUCUAAAACCAGUUUGCAAGCUCAAAAUGUUUACAUGGCUAUUGUUUCAAGAUAGAAUUAAAACUUCCACUUCCCCUUUAACUUUCUACAAGAUUUGUUCAAACUAUUAUAGUUUUGUUUGUUUUUCUAAACCUUAGCAAUCAAAUUGAGUCAGAUGGAGUAGUAUUACAGCAUUGGAGAUGAUGAUUGUGAUUAUAUUGUGUUUAUGGUUGAUUUUAACUUGCUUCGAUUUCUACAGAUUUCAUAUUUUUUGUAUAUGUUUAUCAAAGAUGGAAAUACCCAGUUGACAAAAAGCGGGUGAAUGAGUUCGGUUUUGGUAGUGAGGACGACAGUCAGUCUUCCGAGGCCAUUUAAGGGACAAAGAAGGGAUUUUAACUUCCAUAUUUUGAAUUACUCAAUAUUACAAAUUUGCCUCUCAUCAGAACAGGCUAGCUGAUUUCUUUGAACGCCAAUGUAACCACAUUUAUAUAAUUCGUUUUGUUGGGUUCAGUUUUAUGACAGAUGUGCUGAAAUUAAGGCUUUAACUCUUUAAGCCUCAUAGUUCAUAUUUUAAUCAUCCUUUAUCUUUUGGUGAUUGCAGAGUGUUCAUCUUAAAGCCGCGUAAUUAUUGCUGCGUGUGUGACUCUUCUGUGUUACAACUUUAAUUUUGUCGUGUGUAUUGAUUUAUUUUCCGAUGGAUUAGGUUGAUUUCAGAUCUGUAAGCUGUUGUAAUUAGGGUUUUCCAUUGUUGGAUAUGCAUAUCGAGGAUUUUGAAGCAGAAGAGGUGCUGGCAGGUGCAAUGUUUCCGUUGGUGUUCAAAUGGUUCGUUCACAAUUGUUGGACAUUGCACACCUGUUAAACAUUUUCCAUUUUUGAAUUCGAUUUGUUGAAACAAUUGCGAACAUUUUCCACUUUUAGUGAUGUAGUUUUGAUUUUUCGCUGUGAUAUAUUAGUUGUAAAAACUCAAUCUUAAGUUUUUUUAAUAAUUUUGCACGCAUCGUGGCGGGUUGAAGGA